rnacentral:rRNA from 1 species
GUGGGGAAUCUUGCGCAAUGGGCGAAAGCCUGACGCAGCCAUGCCGCGUGGAUGAUGAAGGUCUUAGGAUUGUAAAAUCCUUUCACCGGUGAAGAUAAUGACUGUAGCCGGAGAAGAAGCCCCGGCUAACUUCGUGCCAGCAGCCGCGGUAAUACGAAGGGGGCUAGCGUUGCUCGGAAUUACUGGGCGUAAAGGGAGCGUAGGCGGACAUUUAAGUCAGGGGUGAAAUCCCGAGGCUCAACCUCGGAACUGCCUUUGAUACUGGGUGUCUUGAGUGUGAGAGAGGUGAGUGGAACUCCGAGUGUAGAGGUGAAAUUCGUAGAUAUUCGGAAGAACACCAGUGGCGAAGGCGACUCACUGGCUCAUUACUGACGCUGAGGCUCGAAAGCGUGGGGAGCAAACAGGAUUAGAAACCCUAGUAGUCC